rnacentral:piRNA from 1 species
UACUAUACAUCUUAUACCAGUCUACCAUC